UUACGGCUGGUUAGCCCCCGGCUGCCUGGUUACUGCCGCUGUGCUGCUGCUGCUGCUUCGCUGCCGCUUUACUGCUGUUAUUGAACGCCUCCGCUGCUUCCGCUGUUUGCCGGCCUGCUUCGGGGUGCGGUUGGCUGCCUCACGCCGACUCCCCUUUGUUGACUUUGUCCCCCCAGCAGCCGUGCGAGGUGCGGAGCGAGUGCGUUACCCGGGUGGACGCGACUGCGAGUCCCCGGUUCGGACUGUGUGUGAGGAUGUGUGUUUGACAUUUUAAAGGCACUCUGUGAAGGUCGCUCAUUCAUUUCGUUUUG
rnacentral:lncRNA from 1 species